rnacentral:rRNA from 1 species
CAGCCGCCACGGGAAUACGGAGGGAGCUAGCGUUGUUCGGAAUUACUGGGCGUAAAGCGCGCGUAGGCGGUUACUCAAGUCAGAGGUGAAAGCCCGGGGCUCAACCCCGGAACUGCCUUUGAAACUAGGUGACUAGAAUCUUGGAGAGGUCAGUGGAAUUCCGAGUGUAGAGGUGAAAUUCGUAGAUAUUCGGAAGAACACCAGUGGCGAAGGCGACUGACUGGACAAGUAUUGACGCUGAGGUGCGAAAGCGUGGGGAGCAAACAGGAUUAGAUACCCGUGUAGUCCCUGUCUCUUAUAA